AUGGCGGCGAUACCGUUUGUCUUGGUCCUGUUCGUCGUGUCCUACUCCUACACCGCCGGUGCCGGCGCGGCCGUGUUCACCAUCACCAAUUGGUGCCCGGACAUGGUGUAUCCGGCCUCGUCCAAGGACGUACUGGGUCUGGGCUUCGGUCUCCCAAGUGGCGAUACGAUGCAUACCGGCGCAAGCGCGGGCAGCAGCGGCAAGAUCUGGGGCCGCACCGGCUGCACUUUGGACGCCCACGGCAAUGGGACAUGCGAGACCGGCGACUGCGCGGGCCAGCAGGUUUGCAACGUCCCCGGGAAGCCGCCGGCGACCGUGGCUGAGUUCACGCUCGGGGACACGGUGGACUACUACGACCUCUCGCUUGCAGACGGCUUCAACAUCCCCAUUUCUUUCGGGUGCGACGACGCCCCCGGCGCACUCGUGUGCAUGGAUCCCGGCUGCAGCGACGCGAAGCACCGUCCGGACGACAGCAAAGUCCACACCUGCCCGGCCAACAGCAGCUACCAUGUCGUCUUCUGCCCCGCAGCUUCAAUGCUUUGA
rnacentral:rRNA from 1 species